rnacentral:rRNA from 1 species
GACGAACGCUGGCGGCGUGCCUAACACAUGCAAGUCGAGCGGGAACCUCAGGAGGGGUAACCCUUCUGAGGGGAGAGCGGCGAACGGGUGAGUAACACGUGGGCAACCUGCCUCGGACACCGGGAUAACCCAGGGAAACCUGAGCUAAUACCGGAUACUCCGGCGUGAUCGCAUGGUCGUGCCGGGAAAGCUCCGACGGUCCGGGAUGGGCCCGCGGCCUAUCAGCUUGUUGGUGGGGUAACGGCCCACCAAGGCGACGACGGGUAGCUGGUCUGAGAGGACGGCCAGCCACACUGGGACUGAGACACGGCCCAGACUCCUACGGGAGGCAGCAGUGGGGGAUCUUGCGCUAAUGCGCGAAAGCGUGACGCAGCGACGCCGCGUGGGGGAUGAAGGCCUUCGGGUUGUAAACCCCUUUCGGCAGGGGCGAAGGGAAACUGACGGUACCUGCAGAAGAAGUCCCGGCUAACUACGUGCCAGCCGCCGCGGUAACAC